UACGUAGGGUGCGAGCGUUAAUCGGAAUUACUGGGCGUAAAGCGUGCGCAGGCGGUUCGUUAAGUCAGAUGUGAAAGCCCCGGGCUCAACCUGGGAACUGCAUUUGAAACUGGCGGGCUUGAGUGUGGCAGAGGGGGGUGGAAUUCCGCGUGUAGCAGUGAAAUGCGUAGAUAUCUGGAGGAACACCGGUGGCGAAGGCGGCGUCCUGGACCAACACUGACACUGAGGAGCGAAAGCCAGGGGAGCAAACGGG
rnacentral:rRNA from 1 species